rnacentral:rRNA from 1 species
UAGUCCUAGCGGUAAACGAUGUAGAUUAGAUGUCGGGGGAGUCGAUCCCUUCGGUGUCAAAGUUAACACAUUAAAUCUACCACCUGGGGAGUACGGUCGCAAGACUGAAACUCAAAGGAAUUGACGGGGACCCGCACAAGCGGUGGAGCAUGUGGUUUAAUUCGAGGCUACGCGAGGAACCUUACCUAGGCUUGACAUGCUAAGAGUAGUCCUGAUGAAAGUCGGGGCGACCGUAACCAAUCGGAGCUUAGUACAGGUGCUGCAUGGCUGUCGUCAGCUCGUGCUGUGAAGUGUUGGGUUAAGUCCCGCAACGAGCGCAACCCUUGUCCUUAGUUGCCAGCACGUAAAGGUGGGAACUCUAGGGAGACUGCCGGUGACAAACCGGGAGGAAGGUGGGGAUGACGUCAAGUCAUCAUGGGCCCUUACGGGGUAGGGGCUACACACGUGCUACAAUGGGUCGGUACAGGA